UCUUGUUAGAGUGGAAGACAGGUGCGUGGCGAAGGAGAGGUAAUCGCUGCCAAGUCACUUAAUAGUGCAGCGCUAGUUCUAGUGUGCGUUUUCAGGCUGGUGUUUUAAGUCGUUUUUGAAGCUCCCUCAAAUGUUUGCGGUCUAAAGAACUUACGCAGUUGAUAACUUUUGGUGUGUUGGUGAAUGGAUGGUGUGAAUUCGUUACAGGUUUUUUCUGUAGCUACUGUUUAUUUCUUUAAAUGAAAUGGAGGCUGCAAAUGUUAGAUUUCAGAGUAGAAGUUCUCUACCACAUUUUUGAUAAGUCUGCUUGUAACUUACACAGCUUCAAUUUAGCCUGAAAUUCUUGUGCUGGUAGUAAAGAAACAGAACAACUUAUUCCUGUGUGUCAAGACAAUUAACUCUAAGACUUCUAUUUCUUCAUCUUUAAAAAUGUUACAGAUUGGAAAAAAAAAUCAUAACUUUUUUCUCUGAAUAUAUAUUUUAGUCUCUUUGUCCUUUUUUCCCUUUCACUCCUUUAUUCUUACACACUUUAAAGCAAUGCUUAUGUAACUUCUUGUUUACUCUGCUGAAUUGAAUGUGUUCUGAGAUUGUGUUCCCUUUUUCAGUGUACACGUUUUAAAUCUUCUUUACUUCUCAAUGCAGACACUUCAUGGAUCCUGAUUAGAAACAAGAUGAGAAGUCAUCAGAAAGAAAGAUUAAAAAUUGAAUCUGCCUCUUAUUUGUCAUCAGAAUGAAUGGAAAGGAACUCCACAGCAUAUGAUUUAUGCCUUGUUCUUUCUAUAUUGAACAUGAAGAGUUAAAGCCAUUUGUUUUCACACCUCAUCUCAUUGUCAUCACACCUCACUUUGAAGAAAUAACACCAGUGAGCAAAUUUCCUGUCACUAUGAAAGCCAAUUAGAGAAGGAGCUAUCAAUGACAGAGGUGGAUUCUGUUACUGCAUAAGGAAUGAGUUCUGCCAACUUUAUGAGAAAGGUAUAAUAUAUCGAUGUGACAUUGUUUUCCUUAAAAAUCUCUCAUUUUUUGUUUUUAGUUUGAAAAGAAUGUCUGUGAGAAAGCAGACUACCAAUUCAUUUCACAGACAUUGCUUAGUAUUUAUCAGAUGAUUGCUAGAUGAUUGAAGCACUGAAAUUCAGCUAGUGACCUAGUCUUAGGAAGCAUCUAUUAUCAAUCAUGUUAAGCUAUAGGAGGGAUGGAG
rnacentral:lncRNA from 1 species